rnacentral:rRNA from 1 species
UACGGAGGGAGCUAGCGUUGUUCGGAAUUACUGGGCGUAAAGGGUGCGUAGGCGGGUCUUUAAGUCAGGGGUGAAAUCCUGGAGCUCAACUCCAGGACUGCCUUUGAUACUGAGGAUCUUGAGUCCGGGAGAGGUGAGUGGAACUGCGAGUGUAGAGGUGAAAUUCGUAGAUAUUCGCAAGAACACCAGUGGCGAAGGCGGCUCACUGGCCCGGUACUGACGCUGAGGCACGAAAGCGUGGGGAGCAAAC